UAGAUUGAAGCCCGCUGGUUUGGUUUUUAGUUGUUAACUAAAGAUUUACGGGAUCGAGGCCCGUCGAUUUAG
rnacentral:tRNA from 1 species